AGAGACAGCAGCCGCCGCGGUAAUACAGAGGGUGCGAGCGUUAAUCGGAUUUACUGGGCGUAAAGCGUGCGUAGGUGGCUUUUUAAGUCGGAUGUGAAAUCCCUGAGCUUAACUUAGGAAUUGCAUUCGAUACUGGGAAGCUAGAGUAUGGGAGAGGAUGGUAGAAUUCCAGGUGUAGCGGUGAAAUGCGUAGAGAUCUGGAGGAAUACCGAUGGCGAAGGCAGCCAUCUGGCCUAAUACUGACGCUGAGGUACGAAAGCAUGGGGAGCAAACAGGAUUAGAGACCCCAGUAGUCCCUGUCUCUUAUAC
rnacentral:rRNA from 1 species